rnacentral:misc_RNA from 1 species
AAAACUAAUGCAAAUUCUGUAUUGGAUUCUGAAACAUAAUAAUGUCUGAUUACAAAACAUUAAUAGGGAACUACAAAUCUAAGAAACCGUAAAUCAAAUCCACAAAACUUGAUAUUGAAGAAAGAAAAACAAAAAACCCAAUUCAUUUUUCAAAUAAAGAAAACCCAAUUCAUCAUUUUUCAAAUAAUGGGCAUUUGUUUCUUGGAAUUGUUAUUAACCAGGAUAUGAACUCUAUUUACUUCAACCUCACAUCCCACAUUAUGCUAAAAUCCAUUUCCAUUGAACUUCAUAUUUGAACUAUAAUCAAAUUUGUUGGAGCAUGGACUUGUAAGUCUUUUACUUAUGGUUUCUUAGAGAAGUCUAAAUCCACAUCCCUGAAGAGAGUGAAUGAGCUUUGUUGGAGUUGUGAAGAUGUUAAUGUUGUCAAAAUUUAUAUGAGAACAUGACCUCUAAAAGAAACAGAGCAGAAAAUAUAAUUUACAUUCUCAACCAAUAUAAUAAUAAUAAUAACAAUAGAAAUUAGCACAAACAUAAUAAAAGAAAUACAGUUUCAAAAUGGGCAUCCUUUUGUAGCUAUAUAUUGUGCUACAUCCUUGGGCAAUUGGUAAGAACUACACCUAUUUUAUAAGAAAAACUAGAAAAUGUAGCUAAUGCCAACAAGGUAAAAACCAAUUGAAAUUAAGCACCAUUUUCUGAUCUGUAUUUAGAAAACAUAGCUAGAAGUUUAAACAUCCUUUUACUUUUUAAUGGAAUAACUUGCACCAUAAAUCACAAACAACUUUGAAAACAAAGCUAAAAUUCAUUAUCUCCAUCUUAUCCUUACAAAAUAUGAGCACCAAAACAGAAAAGUUCAGGCAAACAAGCAAGCAACUCUUGAAACAUGUAUCAUAACAAUUACCUAAGGAGUGGGAGUGAUUCAGCUCUUACAUCUUUAAUAAAUUAAUGUCAAAUUUAGUGAAAGUUGAGAAUUUUCUAUAUGAAAAAUCAAAGCGCAUGAUUUAUUAAUCUUUUCAAACUCUAGUUUUCUCGUAACUAAACAGAUGUCAAACAAUAAAAAAAUAUUCAAAGUGAAGGAAAAAAAAAAA